rnacentral:rRNA from 1 species
UACAGGGGGUGCAAACGUUGCUCGGAAUCAUUGGGCGUAAAGCGCACGUAGGCGGUUCGUUAUGUCGGAUGUGAAAGCCCUUGGCUUAACCGAGGAAGUGCAUCCGAAACUGGCGAGCUAGAGUACUAAAGAGGAUCGCGGAAUUCCCGGUGUAGAGGUGAAAUUCGUAGAUAUCGGGAGGAACACCGGUGGCGAAGGCGGCGAUCUGGGUAGAUACUGACGCUGAGGUGCGAAAG